AUAACUCACUACAUGUUUCCAUAACCUCUUCUGUUUCCAUUGCACAGCUAGGGUGUUGUACCUUUUAUUCACCACAGUAUCUUCCAUCUAGGGGCCAUACUGUCCAGUGAAGAGGCUGUGCUGCUUGAUUUAAACAGAGUCUCAAGCUAUUGCUGUGAUUGACCUUCCAUUUUCUGGCCUGAAAGACAUUCAGGGAAAGAGGAAGAGAUGGCAGUUUCUUGGAAAAAGUACAAGAACAUUCAACCAAAGAGCAGCCUAAGUUGCAUGGGAGUAAACAAAGGACAGAAAAAUGGAGAGGGGGAAGAGAAAUAUAGACACCUGAAGAUCAGCUUUACCACCUUUGAAGCGACUCCCCUGCAGGUGGGGAGCCAGGGGCUCAAACUGUUAUCCUUCAACCUGUCCUUACACUUCAUGCCGUGAGUGCUUAACCUGCUGUGCUACCUCCUGACUCCCAAUCCCAGCCCCUUUUUACCAAUUUUUUAACUUUUAAUUUGAGGUUUACAAU